CCCUUAGAUGUUCUGGGCCGCACACGCGCUACACUGAAGGAGGCAGCGUGUACUCCUGGAUCGAAAGAUUUGGGUAACCCGCGAAUCUCCUUCGUGCUAGGGAUUGAGGUUUGCAAUUAUCCUUCAUGAACGAGGAAUUCCCAGUAAGUGCAAGUCAUAAGCUUGCGCUGACUACGUCCCUGCCCUUUGUACACACCGCCCGUCGCUACUACCGAUUGAAUGGUCCGGUGAACCCUCCGGAUCGGCCCGCGCCAACGCAAGUUGAGCAAAGGCCGAGAAGUUGGGUAAACCUUACCAUUUAGAGGAAGGUGAAGUCGUAACA
rnacentral:rRNA from 1 species